GACGAACGCUGGCGGCGUGCCUAAUACAUGCAAGUAGAACGCUGAAGGAGGAGCUUGCUUCUCCGGAUGAGUUGCGAACGGGUGAGUAACGCGUAGGUAACCUGCCUGGUAGCGGGGGAUAACUAUUGGAAACGAUAGCUAAUACCGCAUAAGAGUAGAUGUUGCAUGACAUUUGCUUAAAAGGUGCAAUUGCAUCACUACCAGAUGGACCUGCGUUGUAUUAGCUAGUUGGUGAGGUAACGGCUCACCAAGGCGACGAUACAUAGCCGACCUGAGAGGGUGAUCGGCCACACUGGGACUGAGACACGGCCCAGACUCCUACGGGAGGCAGCAGUAGGGAAUCUUCGGCAAUGGACGGAAGUCUGACCGAGCAACGCCGCGUGAGUGAAGAAGGUUUUCGGAUCGUAAAGCUCUGUUGUAAGAGAAGAACGAGUGUGAGAGUGGAAAGUUCACACUGUGACGGUAUCUUACCAGAAAGAGACGGCUAACUACGUG
rnacentral:rRNA from 1 species